CGGACGGGUGAGUAAUGCUUGGGAAUCUGGCUUAUGGAGGGGGAUAACGACGGGAAACUGUCGCUAAUACCGCGUAGAAUCGAGAGAUGAAAGUGCGGGACCGCAAGACCGCAUGCCAUAGGAUGAGCCCAAGUGGGAUUAGGUAGUUGGUGGGGUAAAGGCCUACCAAGCCGACGAUCUCUAGCUGGUCUGAGAGGAUGACCAGCCACACCGGGACUGAGACACGGCCCGG
rnacentral:rRNA from 1 species